GACGAACGCUGGCGGCGUGCCUAAUACAUGCAAGUCGAACGCAGUGGGGACGGGCGAGUAAAACGUGGGUAAGCUCCCAUCAGAGGGGAUAACACUUGGAAACAGGUGCUAAACAGAUACUGUUGGAUGGACCCGCGGGGCAUUAGCUAGUUGGUGGGGUAACGGCUCACCAAGGCCACGAUGCAUAGCCGGCCUGAGAGGGUGAUCGGCCACACUGGCACGGAGACACGGCCCAGACUCCUACGGGGGGCAGCAGUGGGGAAUCUUCCGCAAUGGGCGCAAGUCUGACCGCGCAAUGCCGCGUGUGUGAAGAAGGUUUUCGGAUCGUAAAACUCUUUUGUUGGGGAGGCGGUAUCUGACCAGAAAGCCACGGCUAACUCCGUGCCAGCAGCCGCGGUAAUAC
rnacentral:rRNA from 1 species